rnacentral:rRNA from 1 species
GACGAACGCUGGCGGCGUGCUUAACACAUGCAAGUCGAACGAAGUGGCGAACGGGUGAGUAAUGCGUGAUCAACCUGCCCUUCAGAGGGGGACAACAGUUGGAAACGACUGCUAAUCCCGCUUACUGAAGGAGGGGAUUGCGUCUGAUUAGCUAGUUGGAGGGGUAACGGCCCACCAAGGCGAUGAUCAGUAGCCGGGCUUGAGGGAUGAACGGCCACAUUGGGACGGAGACAAGGCCCAGACUCCUACGGGAGGCAGCAAGGGGGAAUCUUCCGGAAUGGAGGAAAGUCUGACGGAGCAAAGCCGCGGGAGUGAUGACGGCCUUCGGGUUGUAAAGCUCUGUUAAUCGGGACGCGGUACCGGAAUAGAAAGCCACGGCUAACUACGUGCCAGCAGCCGCGGUAAUAC